rnacentral:rRNA from 1 species
AGUGAACGCUGGCGGUAGGCCUAACACAUGCCAGUCGAACGGCAGCACAGUAAGAGCUUGCUCUUACGGGUGGCGAGUGGCGGACGGGUGAGGAAGACAUCGGAAUCUACUUUUUCGUGGGGGAUAACGUAGGGAAACUUACGCUAAUACCGCAUACGACCUACGGGUGAAAGCAGGGGAUCUUCGGACCUUGCGCGAUUGAAUGAGCCGAUGUCGGAUUAGCUAGUUGGCGGGGUAAAGGCCCACCAAGGCGACGAUCCGUAGCUGGUCUGAGAGGAUGAUCAGCCACACUGGAACUGAGACACGGUCCAGACUCCUACGGGAGGCAGCAGUGGGGAAUAUUGGACAAUGGGCGCAAGCCUGAUCCAGCCAUACCGCGUGGGUGAAGAAGGCCUUCGGGUUGUAAAGCCCUUUUGUUGGGAAAGAAAAGCAGCAGGUUAAUACCCCGCUGUUCUGACGGUACCCAAAGAAUAAGCACCGGCUAACUUCGUG